rnacentral:lncRNA from 1 species
UAUAAUAUAUAUGGAUAUAUUAUAUGUAUAUAUAAUGUAGGCUGAUAGUGUGUGUGUGGUUGUUACAGUGGGCUCCAGACUCACGAAGAGUACAGCCAAGCAACGGGCCAGCUGGCCGUACACUGCACCUGAGACGAUCAGGGCAAACAAGACUCGCACCAAGACCAGACAGCACAUGUCACCUAGACAGCCAAAAGCGAACCCAAAGGGAAGGUCAGAAACCCACAACCCCUGGCGACUUUGCCAAUAAGCUUCCCCAUUAGCGAAAGGCCCCAGACCUUAACAAGGAGGCCCACCAGCAAAUACUGACAGGAAUUUGCACGUUGUUACUAGAUGAGGCCUGAGCCAUGGAUGCAAUAAAUACCGAUGCUUGCACCAUAUUGUUUGCACGCAGGACAAUGGCUGCGCAAAAGAUAUCUACAGCAAACAGGACCGCAAAAUUCAGUUCAUUGGAGCGACGGAGUCCAUGUCCCAGAUGGUAUUAGAUGCUUAUAACUUGAUUGUAUACGCCGGAGCCUCUUUUGUUACGGACAUCCUGAGGGUGCAUCUCUGCCGCUAUGUGACCUCACCGCUGGAGUGUCCCUCCCUCAGCAUGCUGGAAGGCAUUGCCGUGAAAACAAGCCCACCAUUCGUCCCACCGCCACCAAGCCCACUAUUAACAAGCCCACGUCCCCCGAGCCCACGACCCCCGAGACCAUCACCACCAAGCCCACCGCCGCCACCAAGC